AGUCUAGUCUGUUGUUGAGAUAGGGCCGCAUUCCAACACUGCUGUCCUGAGUGCAUGAAAAUUGAAAUAGUACCAGUGUACACAGAAGGGGGUGAAACUGUCAGCUCUUCAGCCCAUCUGACGAAGAUGAGUGUUUUGGUGAUUCAGCGCAAGCGUGUGUGUGUUUUUGUUUUCUGUGAUGGCGGACUACAGUGGAGUUUUAUGUGCCUUAUUACAACAGAUCAACAGAGACCUCAGUGCAGCGGAAAAGAACAAGGAGCGCCAGCCGGCUUGAUGUUCUCAGUUUCUACAACAACAAAAAACUCAUAUUUCAUAUUUCCAUCAUAUAUUCUUUUAUAUUUAAAAGAAUCAAAAGUACAAUUUUUAUUUUUAUAUGAAAUACCUGAAAAUUCCUGCAGAAAGAGGACAGCUGUUAGGGGGUGUUUUGGUUUGGAAAACAGCACCUUCCAGCAGGAACAAGAAGGGUGGAGUUACUGGGACCAUUCUUUUUUAUUGUUCUUGGUAUUUUCUACUUUUUUGUACUCUUGCUGUCACUGCCAGAAAAUGUAGACAUUUAUGUUCUUGAUAGAAACAAACUAAUGCUGGAUGCAGUCAUGACAGCUGAUUUUUUCCUUUUGAGGAUAUGGUGUUGUGUUAACCAAUGAACUAUCCAAAUGAUGAAGGUAUGACAUGAACAUUGAAGUAGGGAGUCUAAUUUAACAAAAUAUCAUUAUCUUUCCUGGUUUCUUGCAGAUAGUUUACGUGUCUUUAAUUGCGUUAUUCACACAUUUACUCACUCUGUUUUUAUGUUUUAGUCUUGAUCAGUUUCCUGUCCAUAUCAUUUGCCCCACACGUACUGGUUCUGACAUUCUGACAAGGACAAUUUUAACUUGGACCAAUAAGCAGGCAGGAUUAUGAUCUGGGUUCCUAUCAAGCAGAUGUUAUCCAGCAGAAAAAAGGAUUCCAAUGCAAAUAUUAUUUUGAAAGAUUAUGUCCUACAUAUAUUGUAUGUAAAUAAUAUCCUAUUCUAAAUCUAUCUGAGUGAUGAGGUGAUGUUGACGGACAUAUUAUUUUGCUGCUGAAAUCUCACAAUGACAAUGCUAACAUGCUGAUGUUUAGCAGCUACCAUCUUUGUGUUAGCAUGCUAACAUUUGAUAAUUGGCACUAAACACAAAGUACAGCUGAGUCGGUGUCAUUAGUUUUGAAGGUAUUUGGUCAAAAAACAAAGUAUCGGACAUAUUAAAAUUUUGACCAGAUGACGGCACUAGAUGAAAAGUCAGGGGAUUACCAAAGUCUGUAGGAUCCAUCCUCUGGGACCCAUGAAUGUCAUUACAAAAUGCCACCUUUAACAAUCCAUGUUGUAGAAGUUGAGAUAUUUCACAGCAUCAAGUGAAACUAUUUGGCCCUCAGGUGGCGGUAGAGAAUAACCAAAGUAAUUCACACCUGCUAUCUCAAAUUCAGUAUUGGAUAGUGGAGUUUUAAAUUAUAAUGUGCUGUACUCUUUUUAUGUGUUGUUUAAUGGACCCGGUAUUUGUUGGCUUUAUCAUUAUACACUUGUGCACGGUUUGCACACUGGAAAAGUGCCUGGAAUUUGUUGUUCUUACUUUCUCUUGAAUUUUAACACCCCUGAAUGUAACGAGGGCUCCUCUAUAUCACAUUAAGGCAGUGGUUCCUCCUCCAGUUUGGAAUAGAUUGAUGUAUUUGUCUGAUCAAAUGGGGAAAAACACUCAGGGAAGUACUCAGGCAGCUUAUUAAUUUCAUCUACACAACUUUUCUGGACAGAUGGCACUUUUUUCACAUCAUUUGAAUGAAGAAAUAAUAGAAUGAGACAGGGAAAGCCCUGCCAACAGACCCUGGAGGCCUUGUGCCACUUCUAACAGGCAACCAGACCCAAGUGAUUUGAAAUGACUAAGCAACUAGCACUGCCAUCCAUAAAAGCUCACACAACAAAAGCUAAAACAAAGAAACACACAAUGGAUAAUACUGAAAAUAUACUUUAUUAUUCAGUGCAUCCAAAUGAUUUAUGACAAUUUACAAAUAAAUGUUUAAUAUUA